ACCCCGGUAGCUCAGUUGGAUAGAGCAACGGCCUUCUAAGCCGUAGGUCGCGCGUUCGAGCCGCGCCCGGGGUGCCA
rnacentral:tRNA from 1 species